rnacentral:lncRNA from 1 species
GGUAAAUUAAGUUGUCUUCCAAAACUGUGUACUUGUCUGGUCAACUGUGUGUGAUCAGUUAUCUACCUCAGAGUCUAUUUUCUUUUGUGCUGGGACAGGUUGCUGGCCCUCCCUGUUUCCACAGACCAAAUCCUUCCUAGCUCAGGAGCUAGGCCUAAGCAGUUAUUUCUUUCGAGUAUUUUUUAGUUCUUAAAAUUUAUGCUUGUAUUUGAUUAUAGAUGUCAGUGACAUUUCAUAGUUUCAAAAGUCCUUGCUGCUCUGAGAAGUGUAGAUUCUAGUGAAAAUUACAUAGUCAUAAGAGAAAUGUUAGUUAAGACAGAAAUUUGAUAGCUCAGUUAGAGAGGAGGGAAAAUCUGCUGCUAGAAAUGUCUGAACUAAGUGCCAUACUUGUCUGGGUA